rnacentral:rRNA from 1 species
UACAGAGGGGGCAAGCGUUUAUUCGGAAUUAUUGGGCGUAAAGGGCGCGUAGGCGGCCUGGCAAGUGACGGGUGAAAGCCCUCGGCUCAACCGAGGAACUGCCUGUCAUACUGCCGGGCUUGAGUCCGGGAGAGGUGAGUGGAAUUCCUGGUGUAGCGGUGAAAUGCGCAGAUAUCAGGAGGAACACCAAUGGCGAAGGCAGCUCGCUGGGACGUGACUGACGCUGAGACGCGAAAGCGUGGGGAGCGAACAGG